CAACAAAUUCCAGACAUCCCAUGGCUGAUGCAGUUGCUGAAUGUGGAGCAGUUUCAGCAGAUACCUACCCCAGAAUAGCCUUGUGGUUAGAACACUCAGCUGGAAGGGGCGAAAGCCCUGAAAUAGGGCUGGGAUUUGAAGCUGGGCUCCAAUGUCUCAGGUCACCCUUUAUACUACUAACCCAGCUCACCAAGCCCUGUGGACUAUACUGGCUAUCAAUAUUUACAGAGUAGUGUACGCAGAUGAAAAGGAGGAAAUAGCCUUUCUUGUUUCAAUCAUUCCUUUGGCGGC